CACAGUGUGUGUUUGCAGGGUGUUGUUGGUGAUGCUGGUGAGCGAGGGCCGCCCGGACCAGACGGAAACCAGGGUCCUGUCGGAGGAAGCGGCAGCAGUGGAUUCCCAGGCUUGAGAGGCGAUCCGGGGCCCGAGGGACCCCGCGGCUUUCCUGGCAUUGUGGGACCUCAGGUAACGUCCCGUCAGGUCACGCCUCAGAGUUUCUGUAAGCUGAUUGGCUGGACAAUGAAGAUCUUGUUCUCUCAUUGGCAGGGCCUGACUGGAGGGGCGGGGCCUCCUGGAAUGAAAGGCUGAACCUGGACUGAGGGGUGACCCGGGAGAGACUGGAUAUCAGGGCGACAAGGUGAGCGUCAGGAGGAAACCGUAUGCUUGGUUUCUGUCUGUCUGUUAAAGCUCUUAUUGUAUUCCC
rnacentral:lncRNA from 1 species